rnacentral:lncRNA from 1 species
GGGAAAUAUGUUUGUGAGGAGUGUGGAAUUCGCUGCAAGAAGCCCAGCAUGCUGAAGAAACACAUCCGCACCCACACUGACGUCCGGCCCUAUGUGUGCAAGCACUGUCACUUUGCUUUUAAAACCAAAGGAAUCUGACUAAGCACAUGAAGUCGAAGGCCCACAGCAAAAAGUGCCAAGAGACAGGGGUGCUGGAGGAGCUGGAAGCCGAAGAAGAACCAGUGACGACCUGUUCCAGGACUCGGAAGGACGAGAGGGUUCAGAGGCUGUGGAGGAGCACCAGUUUUCGGACCUGGAGGACUCGGACUCAGACUCAGACCUGGACGAAGACGAGGAUGAGGAUGAGGAGGAGAGCCAGGAUGAGCUGUCCAGACCAUCCUCAGAGGCGCCCCCGCCUGGCCCAC